CGAAAGCCUGACGGAGCAAGACCGCGUGGGGGAGGAAGGCUCUUGGGUUGUAAACCCCUUUUCUCAGGGAGGAACAAAUGACGGUACCUGAGGAAUCAGCCUCGGCUAACUCCGUGCCAGCAGCCGCGGUAAUACGGAGGAGGCAAGCGUUAUCCGGAAUUAUUGGGCGUAAAGCGUCCGCAGGUGGCAAUUCAAGUCUGCUGUCAAAGCACGGGGCUUAACUCCGUAAAGGCAGUGGAAACUGAAUAGCUAGAGUGCCGUAGGGGUAGAGGGAAUUCCCGGUGUAGCGGUGAAAUGCGUAGAGAUCGGGAAGAACAUCGGUGGCGAAAGCGCUCAACUGGGCCAUAACUGACACUCAGGGACGAAAGCUAGGGUAGCG
rnacentral:rRNA from 1 species